rnacentral:rRNA from 1 species
UACGUAGGGGGCUAGCGUUGUCCGGAAUCAUUGGGCGUAAAGAGCGUGUAGGCGGCCCGGUAAGUCCGCUGUGAAAGUCGGGGGCUCAACCCUCGAAUGCCGGUGGAUACUGUCGGGCUAGAGUGCGGAAGAGGUGAGUGGAAUUCCUGGUGUAGCGGUGAAAUGCGCAGAUAUCAGGAGGAACACCGAUUGCGAAGGCAGCUCGCUGGGACGUAACUGACGCUGAGACGCGAAAGCGUGGGGAGCAAACAGG